ACUCGCUCUCGUUGUUCAUAUAUUACAUAAUAUAUAUACAUAAGAAAAAACACAACAUUUUGUUGUCAAAAUAAAGUUGACCAGAUUUAAUAGACCUUUCCCCUUUUGAGUGAAAUUUUGAUCUAGAUAUGCCGGCUGGACAAAAAUUUCAUCACAGCUUGAAAGAGCAUCACAGAAUUAGUAAUAUUCCGAAGUUUCGUUGCGAAAUGUUGUAAAAUGCGGAUAAUAUAGCCUUGCGAAGUUUGCCGUUUUUCAGUCAUUUUGCAUUACAAACGGGA